AAGUCGUAACAAGGUUUCCGUAGGUGAACCUGCGGAAGGAUCAUUAACACGUUCCAAACGUCAACCCACGGUUUAAUGUCUCCCCUACCUAACUGGGAUUAGCUGUCACCUCGACCUUUAGUGGUGGAUGAGCCGCGCUCGUGGCUCGUAAAGGUCUUGGUGGCUUGGGCUUCGAGCCUGAGGCUUCCCUUUUAGGCAUUUUUGCUAACCCUCCCCUCCACUUCCCCGGGUUAGUUUUCAUUUACCUAUUUCAACCCUAUGUCUCAAUCUGUCUAACUACUUCUUGAACGAAGAAAUUUGUUCGGGAUUUGUAUAAUACAACAUUGUACAACUCUUAGCAAUGGAUAUCUUGGUUCUC
rnacentral:misc_RNA from 1 species